rnacentral:rRNA from 1 species
UACGUAGGGGGCGAGCGUUGUCCGGAUUUAUUGGGCGUAAAGAGCUCGUAGGCGGUUUGGUAAGUCGGGUGUGAAAUCUCCACGCUCAACGUGGAGGGGCCACUCGAUACUGCCAUGACUCGAGUCCGGUAGAGGAGUGUGGAAUUCCCGGUGUAGCGGUGAAAUGCGCAGAUAUCGGGAGGAACACCUGCGGUGAAGACAGCUUUCUGGACCAUCACUGACGCUGAGACACGAAAGCGUGGGUAGCAAACAGG